UACGAAGGGGGCUAGCGUUGCUCGGAAUUACUGGGCGUAAAGGGCGCGUAGGCGGAUACUUAAGUCGGGGGUGAAAGCCCAGGGCUCAACCCCGGAACAGCCUUCGAUACUGGGUAUCUUGAGUACGGGAGAGGUGUGUGGAACUCCGAGUGUAGAGGUGAAAUUCGUAGAUAUUCGGAGGAACACCAGAAGCGAAGGCGGCUCACUGGCCCGAUACUGACGCUGAGGCGCGAAAGCGUGGGGAGCAAACAGG
rnacentral:rRNA from 1 species